GGGGAUUUAGCUUAGUGGUAAAAGCGCCUGCUUGCAAGCAGGCAGUCCUGAGUUCGAUCCCCG
rfam:Cavia porcellus supercont2_1 genomic scaffold, whole genome shotgun sequence.